rnacentral:rRNA from 1 species
UACGUAGGGCGCAAGCGUUGUCCGGAAUUAUUGGGCGUAAAGAGCUCGUAGGCGGCUUGUCACGUCGGGUGUGAAAGCCCGGGGCUUAACCCCGGGUCUGCAUUCGAUACGGGCUAGCUAGAGUGUGGUAGGGGAGAUCGGAAUUCCUGGUGUAGCGGUGAAAUGCGCAGAUAUCAGGAGGAACGCCGGUGGCGAAGGCGGAUCUCUGGGCCAUUACUGACGCUGAGGAGCGAAAGCGUGGGGAGCGAACAGG